GACGAACGCUGGCGGCGUGCUUAACACAUGCAAGUCGAACGGAAAGGCCCUGCUUUUGUGGGGUGCUCGAGUGGCGAACGGGUGAGUAACACGUGAGUAACCUGCCCUUGACUUUGGGAUAACUUCAGGAAACUGGGGCUAAUACCGGAUAGGAGCUCCUGCUGCAUGGUGGGGGUUGGAAAGUUUCGGCGGUUGGGGAUGUACUCGCGGCUUAUCAGCUUGUUGGUGGGGUAGUGGCUUACCAAGGCUUUGACGGGUAGCCGGCCUGAGAGGGUGACCGGCCACAUUGGGACUGAGAUACGGCCCAGACUCCUACGGGAGGCAGCAGGGGGGAAUAUUGCACAAUGGGCGGAAGCCUGAUGCAGCAACGCCGCGUGCGGGAUGACGGCCUUCGGGUUGUAAACCGCUUUCGCCUGUGACGAAGCGUGAGUGACGGUAAUGGGUAAAGAAGCACCGGCUAACUACGUG
rnacentral:rRNA from 1 species